ACUCCUACGGGAGGCAGCAGUGGGGAAUAUUGCACAAUGGGCGCAAGCCUGAUGCAGCAACGCCGUGUGAGUGAAGAAGGUUUUCGGAUCGUAAAACUCUGUCCUAAGGGAAGAAACAAAUGACGGUACCUUAGGAGGAAGCCCCGGCUAACUACGUGCCAGCAGCCGCGGUAAUACGUAGGGGGCAAGCGUUAUCCGGAAUCACUGGGGCGUAAAGGGUGCGUAGGCGGCUUAGCAAGCCAGGGGUGAAAGGCAUUGGCUCAACCAAUGUAAGCCUUUGGAACUGUUAAGCUUGAGUGCAGGAGAGGUAAGUGGAAGUUCCUAGUGUAGAGGUGAAAUUCGUAGAUAUUAGGAGGAACACCAGUGGCGAAGGCGACUUACUGGACUGUAACUGACGCUGAUGCACGAAAGCGUGGGUAGCGAACAGGAUUAGAUACCCUGGUAGCACAGAG
rnacentral:rRNA from 1 species